rnacentral:rRNA from 1 species
UCUAGAACUUUCCAAUUACGAGUACGAGAAUUGAAAGACAUGAAAAUUCUCAAUUCUCUAUGGCGUCUAGUAGAUAGAAACAAGAAAAUCAGAAGAAUCUUUCUCUCUAUUCACUAUCAUUCCGCGUCUUCGACUUCUAUUAGUUUCUUUUCUUAUGAACUGGUGCGCUCGUGUACAACCGGUACGCUCCAUGUACGUACCCCUUCUCAAACUUGCAUGGCCAUGCAGUGCAGUUGCACCCACGUACACAUUGAGCUAGCUUAA